rnacentral:lncRNA from 1 species
UAGUAAAAUAAAUUAAAUUUUAAAAUUUUGAGAUAUUGUAUUCAUAAUAAGUGUUGUAUUGUUUGCUGCCUCCUCAUCCUCUCACGUGAAGGACUUACACAGGGGCCAGUUGGACUGAGAGUAUUGUGGCUGGCUAAGACUGGCUAAUGUCAAAGGGAUAUCGCCUGGAAAGUAGUCUCUGCUCUAAUAGUAUUGAACGUUUAUUAACAAAGUAGUUUUUUUUUUCCUGGUACUAGGGAUCAAACUGGACCUUGUGCUUGUGAGGCAGGCGUGGCGCCACUGAGCUAAAUCCCUGGCCUCAGAGCUAGAUGUUUGAUAGAAGAAGCUUCUGCAUAUAUUUUUGGUCUAAAAUUUUCAGUUUUCUUUGGAACAAUUUUAGAUCUACCAAAACUUUGUAGAAGAGAGUUCCUAUGCCCUCACCCGAAGUCAGCUUCCCCUCAUCUAGUCGUGUAUUGCUGUGGGAUGUUUGCCCAAACUGAGAAGCCAGCAUUGGUGUGUUUCCGUUACUCCAGUUUUUCUGUUCUGUCCUAUUCUGGGACUCAGUACAGGACACCACCUUGGUCUGUUGUUAUUGCUCCUUAGUCUCCUCUGGUUUGUGACAGUUUCUCAGUCUUACCCUUGGUUUUCAUCACCUUAACAGUUUUGAGGCAAAUGAGAUAGGCAGGGUUCAGAAUGUCCCUCAGUUGGGGUUUCCCUGGGGUGGCAGGUUUCUGGUAGGACCACAGAGGCGCCAUGGCUUUAUUGUGACAUCAUCUUGAGUGUACAGUGUUACCACAUGAUGUCACUUUGUUACCCUUCAUCACUUCGUUAAGGUGGAAGCUGACUAAUUUUUCCUUUACAUGGGAAAUCUCUGGGAAAAUGAGCCAUUUCUCCAAGGAGCCCUGAUGCCUCUCAGAACAGAGUGCUCCGCCGCCCGCCCCCCCCAGUACUGAGGAUCAAAUUCAAGACCUUGCACUUGCCAGAGGAACAGAGUUCUUAAACAGAAUAAAAGACUGGGCUACAUGGCAGGUGCAGCGUCCCUGAGUAAGUCCCUGGCCUGUCACCUUUUUAAAAUGGAGAAACUUAAUAGCCAUCUUGGAGAGUUGCAACUUGAUAAGUAAAGGAAAUAAUGAGUAUUAAAGUGCUUGUGCAGUGACUCUGAGCUUUCUUCCCACUGUCGUCCUUUCCCUCGUCCCGCUGCAGUCGAGCACAUUAUGUAUCUUCCCAAGUACCCUUUUCAUGUUUAGCCACUUCUUCUUGUGUCUUUUGUUAGGGUUGAAAUAUUUUCUCCCCUAUGUCUUCCUGUG